AGCGAACGCUGGCGGCAGGCCUAACACAUGCAAGUCGAACGAAGUCUUCGGACUUAGUGGCGGACGGGUGAGUAACACGUGGGAACGUACCUUUUGGUUCGGAACAACUCAGGGAAACUUGAGCUAAUACCGGAUGAGCCCUUAGGGGGAAAGAUUUAUCGCCGAAAGAGCGGCCCGCGUUAGAUUAGCUAGUUGGUGAGGUAAAGGCUCACCAAGGCUACGAUCUAUAGCUGGUCUGAGAGGAUGAUCAGCCACACUGGGACUGAGACACGGCCCAGACUCCUACGGGAGGCAGCAGUGGGGAAUCUUGCGCAAUGGGCGAAAGCCUGACGCAGCCAUGCCGCGUGAAUGAUGAAGGUCUUAGGAUUGUAAAAUUCUUUUACCAGGGACGAUAAUGACGGUACCUGGAGAAAAAGCCCCGGCUAACUUCGUGCCAGCAGCCGCGGUAAAAC
rnacentral:rRNA from 1 species